AACACCUCCACCAAAUCCUCCCCUUCCUCUCCGCUCAGAUCUGUACAACGAACUGCUGCUCGCCGCCGCCUCAUUCUUCCGUUCUCCCCUCCCCCGACCCUAAUUGCCAUGGCUGCGCUGCGCGUGAUGACUUCGGCGCGCCGCCACGAACUGAUUUGACGGCCACCUAAACUAUCCGCAGUCGUACCGCCUACCUUGGAAUCACCAUCGAAGGGGUGUGCGUAGCAUCCAUGCCGCCCGCGCCGACCCGUUUGGCUUCGACGACUACCAGAUCUAGCCGCCAUUGUACCGUGCCGUGCGCGUCGCCCCGACCUUCCCAAAGGGACGGAAGGUUUUCUUCGAUGGAUUCUAGUGUACUUAUUUCCGACAUAAAAGGUUUGUAACCUUUAGGACGUCUGACGCAUUGGUAAGAUCCAUCCAAUCUUGCCGCUAGUAAUUGCGGUUAACUACUCGCGAUCUCUUCCAUUUUCAGUGAUACUCCAUAUAUCUGUAUCACAAUAGAGUUCACAAUUUACUUUAGAGUUCAUUUAUUGAAACGAAAUUAACUCUUGCUGAAAGUACCGAUAUGAUUAACUUUGUACGUACUCUGAACAGUUUCACCAUCAGAUCCCUCAAUAACCACUUGUCCACUGUCCAGCCUUUUCUAAUCAUAGGAUUUUUUGUUUGUGAUUUAGUUUUUCAUCAAUUCCUCUUUAUAACACAUAAUGCUUCCAGUUUGUAUCAGGUUGUAUUGACUCCCACGUUUGUAAAUAUCAACUUGCAAUAUCUUACUAGAACUUAACAUGGAAAUAUGUUCAAUGGUUAUCAACAGUUGUUUUAACUAUCCUUUAGUAUUCUACUAUAGAUUUCUCUUAUUACCAGUAUACUAAAUUAAGUCUUUCUGGAUAAUUAUUCCCUAGAUGUUGCUUGAGCCUCUAUUAACAUGUCCAGGCGUUUUUAACAGCAGUAGUUGAUGCAAGUUUAGUUACAGCUAAACAUGCAUAAAAAAAUGUUGGCAUUUAGAGUUCUUGUACACAUAUCCUUGCUUCUCAUUAUCACACCUAUAUUAUAAUUGCAUUUGCAGGUCAGCUAGAACAAAUUAGGUUCUUCUUAGAGCUAUUCAGCAAAGGUAAAUCAUUGUUCUUUUCGACACUCCUACAAAUCAUUAAUUGUCAAAAUUAUUUAGAUAUGCUCUCUACAUUUGGACAACCUAACUAUACUUGGGGCGGGAUAUUGUGAUGCUAUCAAUGUAGUCAGAAGUCAUAACCUCUACAUCCACAUCAUUGCCUGCUUUGUUCAGCACUUCAUCUCCCAGGCUCACAAGGAAGAGAUUGUUGGAUUCCUCCCUGGAUCAAACGGUUCUUCUGCAGUUCUGCCGAGGGUGUCCUGCUCGCUCGGUAGUACAUUUUAUGGCGACAAAGCAUGUGCUGCAUUUAUACUCGGGCGGCAACAUCAACAGAAUUCCAUGAGCGAACUCCAUGGUGAAGGAUUUCCUGUCCAUAUGUUUCCCUUAUGAUAUCUGCCUAAAUCACUUGUGCCACACGUCUUCCUAAAUCACGUCUGCGCGCCGCUCCAACUACCAACAUAUGUUUAUGAAAACGUGUGAUUUACAUUGCAACCUAAGUAAUGAUACAUAUAUACUUCUUUGUUAAUAUACCCUCAACUAGGUGUGUUAGACUCCUUUUUAUCUAGAAUUAUUUUUGUUGCUACCUAUAUAUUUCUUCUCUGUUAUCAUAUUUUUGUUAAUGUAGAUUGCUUUGAAAAAUAUCACUUUAAGGUUCUCUAAGAACAAUAUGACACUGUUACUUUUCUCUGAAUAUUGUAAGCAUACCUUAUGUUUUACAGGAGUUUCUGCUGCCUCACUGUUAUACUGCUCUGGAAGAAUUAAUAUACACUUUUGGGGGGACCUUGGUAUUUGGUCUACUUCUUUCAGACCUUAUUUUGUUAUCUAUUGUUUUAAUUGUUGCUCGGGUGAAAUUUGUUGGCACUAUCAACUCAACAAUUGCGGCAGGUUGACCACUCCCCGCCUUCCUCGAAUCAUUAAAUGAAGUACUUUAUGAUUUUACUGCUCCAACUAAUAUUUAAUUUAAAUAUUAUAUGAAGAUUUAUUUAUUUUUUAGAAAACCACAUGCUGAACUAAAAUAGAUGUUUUGCUAUUGAUGCAGGUCUUGGAAACUAAUAUAGCAGUUCUAGUGUCAUGUUCCAGUAGUGCAUCAUAAUUUGGUUUGAUGUGGCAGAAUAAUUCUCGGUUUCCCAAGUGAUUAUAGAAG